GUGGUCAUAGUAUAGUGGUAAGUACGAGUCGUUGUGGUUUGCCUCCGGGCAUCAGCGCCGACUAGACCCAGGUCCGAUUCCUGGUGACCACA